rnacentral:rRNA from 1 species
GACGAACGCUGGCGGCGUGCCUAAUACAUGCAAGUCGAACGCAGUGGGGACGGGUGAGUAACACGUGGGUAACCUCCCAUCAGAGGGGAUAACACUUGGAAACAGGUGCUAAACCGAUACUGAUGGAUGGACUCGGGUUGGAUUAGCUAGUUGGUGAGGUAACGGCUCACCAAGGCCACGAUGCAUAGCCGGCCUGAGAGGGUGAUCAGUCACACUGGGACUGAGACACGGUCCAGACGCCUACGGGAGGCAGCAGUGGGGAAUAUUCGGCAAUGGGCGAAAGUCUGACCCAGCCACGCCGCGUGAGUGAAGAAGGUUUUCGGAUCGUAAAGCUCUGUUGUUAGGGAAGCGGUAUCUACCCAGAAAGCCACGGCUAACUACGUGCCAGCAGCCGCGGUAAUAC